rnacentral:lncRNA from 1 species
CAUGAAGAGGAUUCGGGAGGAAGAGAGCAGCGUCCUGGGCACUGUGGUCAGAGCGUACUCUCCCAUCUUCAAAACCAAGACCAGUGCUGCCCUGCUGGAUAUGCUUGUGGAGGAGGGUCCUUCCAGCCCAAAGCAAGUGCCGGCCAUGGUGAGGUACAUCCACCAGUGGCUGGUGGCCAAUGAGUUUCCUGAGUACAAUCUGUACAGGCCCCUUCUGGAUCUGACAGAGGCACAGCCCUCUGACGUGGUGAUGGCGCUCCUGCGUGUGGCCCCAGUGUGUGACAGAGCUGCUUUGGCCAUGUGGAAGAGCAUCAUGUGCUCGCCCAGGACUGCAGAGCCGGCCAUGCUCGUACUCCUCGAGGUGCUGGGGAGCUGGCCAGAGCACAGCACGUGCACCUCCGAUGGGGACCACACGGCUGUCCUUGCCCUGGCUGUGAGUUUCUGCCUUUGCUGGCCCAAGGCCACCUCUCCAGCAGCUCUCCAUCCUCUUUCCCUCACGGUGUCUCCCUGCCACAGGCACUGGGCUGAAACCUGGCCUCGGGGCAGCUUCAGGGCCACCAGGCCCGGUGCUCCCCCUUCGGUGCUCCCCCUGCGUCUCUCCGGGCCUCUCCCUCCCGUCCUGGGCCCUGCCACACGGACACCUCGGCACUGAGCGCUGUCUCGGCAUGCUCUGUCCUUUGCAGGCAACCGUGGUGAUGUGGAAGAUCCUCCAGCUGCCCUGUGUGCCACAUGUAGUCACCGUGUGUUUCCCCUGCCUCUUUGUGCAUCUGCUCUUCCAAGUGCU